UAAUACACUGUAUUUUGAUCUUGGUGCUCACAGCCCACAACGCGGUGAAUUACGCUUCAGCUGCCUACGCAAUAUCUACAGUACCACCAUGUGAGUCUAAUAUACUAUAUAAUAUGGGAAGUGGUGAAUCAUUCGAUUCAAUUUUACUCAUAAAUAAUUAUAUUCAUUAGCCUCUGGAUCGUUUAAAGAAUGUGAUAAAAGAUACGAACUAUGAAACAACAGCUGGACAUAUUGAAACCCAACAUUGCAGACCCUGUGAACCUUGUACACAUUGUGAGCCAUGUGAUACUGAAGAGAACAAUCCUGCGGAAUGCAUAAAAAGUUAUCUAGUUGUGAGAAAUAAGGUUUCAUGGCAUGACGCAUUAAACGAAUGCAAGAAGCUUGGUCAACAGCUGGUGACGAUCCACAACAAUCAAGAGUGGGACGAAGUAAUAAAAGCUAUUGUUCAUUCCGGUCCCUUGACUACCUCAUUUUGGACGUCAGGUUUCAACCUUAAUCAAGGAACUUGGACUUGGGCUUCGACCUGGAAGCCAUUUAACGUCACAAAGUGGGAUGAUAAUCAACCAUGCAACGAUGACGAACAUAAAUGCGUCAUGACUACGUGGGAACAUCCAUAUGCAUUUCAUUGGUAUGCUUAUAAAUGUACAAUUUUGUACUUCUAUAUAUGUGAGAAAUGUGUGAACUAAUCGUAGCAGUCUAUAGAUUAUUUAGUUACGAACAUAGAGGUAGUAAAUGUAACCAAAACCUCAAAACAAUAAGUGCUAUUCUAUUUAACAACGACCAUAAUUACCACAGCGUAAUAAGUACUAAAUCGCCUCAUAUUUUCCUCCAUUGGGCAGCUCACCUAACACAAUUUAAGUUAUAAAUGCAUUUAACACCAAAGCUUUGUAUAAAAUAAGUGAGAAAUCAUAACUAGUUUGCUAAAUGUUAUUAAUAACGUUUGACGAUUUAAACACAUAACAUGAUUGUGACAUGUGAAAUGACUGGCGAAGUAUAAAGAAA